AGCGGCGGACGGGUGAGUAACGCGUGGGUAACCUGCCUCAUACAGGGGGAUAACAGUUAGAAAUGACUGCUAAUACCGCAUAAGACCACGGUACCGCAUGGUACAGUGGUAAAAACUCCGGUGGUAUGAGAUGGACCCGCGUCUGAUUAGGUAGUUGGUGGGGUAACGGCCUACCAAGCCGACGAUCAGUAGCCGACCUGAGAGGGUGACCGGCCACACUGGGACUGAGACACGGCCCAG
rnacentral:rRNA from 1 species